rnacentral:snRNA from 1 species
GUGCUCAUAUCAGCAGCACAUAUACUAAAGUUUAAAUGAUAUAGAGGAGAUUAGCUUGGACCUGAGCAAGAUUGGCAUACAAAUUCAUGAGGUGGUUCAUAUUAAA